rnacentral:rRNA from 1 species
CCUACGGGAGGCAGCAGUAGGGAAUAUUGCUCAAUGGGGGAAACUCUGAAGCAGCAACGCCGCGUGGAGGAUGAAGGUUUUCGGAUUGUAAACUCCUUUUGUUAGAGAAGAUAAUGACGGUAUCUAACGAAUAAGCACCGGCUAACUACGUGCCAGCAGCCGCGGUAAUACGGAGGGUGCAAGCGUUACUCGGAAUCACUGGGCGUAAAGAGCGCGUAGGCGGGAUAGCAAGUCAGAUGUGAAAUCCUAUGGCUUAACCAAAGAACUGCAUUUGAAACUGUUAUUCUAGAGUAUGGGAGAGGUAAGUGGAAUUCUUGGUGUAGGGGUAAAAUCCGUAGAGAUCAAGAGGAAUACUCAUGGCGAAGGCGACCUGCUAGAACAUAACUGACGCUGAUGCGCGAAAGCGUGGGGAGCAAACAGGAUUAGAUACCCGAGUAGUC